AAGAUCUUUUAUGCAAAUUUUUAAAUUUUUAAAACGGCCGGAAAAAGACAAAUUUUGAGCUUAAGAGCAGAUGUCUGUAAGAAUCGAGAUUCUCGCGACAGUAAAGAAAAACCGAAAUUCUGUUUCUUUCACCAAAACAUUCUCUUUAGGGAACUGUUUCAGAAAAUUAUAUUUAAAAUCCUGGAUAAUUUUUAUUUUGUUAAAUUUUCAAAAAUUUCGAAAAUUUCCAAACUUCAACGCGCUCGUUUACCCGUAGUGAGAAAGGAACAAAAUUGAUAUUAAAUUCGGUUAAUAAACAACUCAAAAAGUUGACUUUCAGCCAAUAUUUAUUUCUGUUCGAUGUAUGUUUAAUUUGUUUGGGGCAUUUUCUACGAUUGACUAUUGACAGCAAAUGAACACGUGUAAACAAUGCUGAUAUUCAGAAAGCCAAAACUUCUUCUGGUAUAUGUAUUUCGGACACAAAGCUUGCAC